rnacentral:rRNA from 1 species
ACGAACGCUGGCGGCGUGCUUAACCCCUGCAAGUCGAACGGAAAGGCCCUGCUUUUGUGGGGUGCUCGAGUGGCGAACGGGUGAGUAACACGUGAGUAACCUGCCCUUGACUUUGGGAUAACUUCAGGAAACUGGGGCUAAUACCGGAUAGGAGCUCCUGCUGCAUGGUGGGGGUUGGAAAGUUUCGGCGGUUGGGGAUGGACUCGCGGCUUAUCAGCUUGUUGGUGGGGUAGUGGCUUACCAAGGCUUUGACGGGUAGCCGGCCUGAGAGGGUGACCGGCCACAUUGGGACUGAGAUACGGCACAGACUCCUACGGGAGGCAGCAGUGGGGAAUAUUGCACAAUGGGCUGAAGCCUGAUGCAGCAACGCCGCGUGCGGGAUGACGGCCUUCGGGUUGUAAACCGCUUUCGCCUGUGACGAAGCGUGAGUGACGGUAAUGGGUAAAGAAGCACCGGCUAACUACGUG